CAGCAGCCGCGGGAAUACGUAGGUGGCAAGCGUUGUCCGGAAUUAUUGGGCGUAAAGCGCGCGCAGGCGGAUAGGUCAGUCUGUCUUAAAAGUUCGGGGCUUAACCCCGUGAUGAGAUGGAAACUGCCAAUCUAGAGUAUCGGAGAGGAAAGUGGAAUUCCUAGUGUAGCGGUGAAAUGCGUAGAUAUUAGGAAGAACACCAGUGGCGAAGGCGACUUCCUGGACGAAAACUGACGCUGAGGCGCGAAAGCCAGGGGAGCGAACGGGAUUAGAUACCCCCGUAGUCCCUGUCUCUUAUACC
rnacentral:rRNA from 1 species